AUGUGAGGGUGAUCUGGCUGCGACAUCUGUCACCUCAUUGAUUUCCAGGGUUGAUUCCACUGAUCUCUCUGGCUAGGCUGGUGUCCCCUUUCCUUUCUCACCACUCCAUGUGCUUCCCUCUGGAAGCUGUGCUCCUUGGAAGAGGAUAGCCUUCCUGGAAUAGAGACAAACCGGUCUUCUGUCCAGGGUACACUAGUAGCUGCACUCCCCUGCUAGAACCUCCAAACAAGCUCUCAAAAGAAUUGUUAAAUCAUAUAAAACACAAAGAAACAUUGGUUUGAUGUCUUGAAUUUUCUUGGAAAUUUAAUAUUA
rnacentral:snRNA from 1 species